rnacentral:lncRNA from 1 species
GAUAGAAACUCAGCUCAGGCCCAAUUAAGUGAAAAAAGCAAACUCCCAAACUCAGUUACCUAACUGAGAAGUUGAGGGUGCAUUUAGCUCUCACCCUGAUUGUAUUCAGAGCCUUAACUGAGGUCCUUAAGUUUUUCUCCUUUCCUUUUCUUCAUUCCUUGGCUUGCCUUUAUUUUCAGGAAGCCUCUCUUCACCUUUGGGGCAGGACGCCUGUCAGCAAUUCCAGACAUACUCUUCAGGGCAACAUCCCCAGGGAAAAUUACCUUGUUAACUACAGAAAAGAAAUCCUAUGGAGGACUUAAAAUGAUUUUGCUUGGGUCACACUUUCCUUUGUGUGACUGAAGAUGGGGUUAAUUUUAUUGACCAAGUGCAGGACACAUGAUAUACGCCUGUAUGAGGCUUCCUUCCAAUGCAUACUAAUAACAAAGAUGGCAGGCAUGGAGAUUACAGAAAGCUUCUCUCAGUGGUGCAUGCCUGGAGGAAGGAAAAGCUCCUUUCCAAAGAAAAACCAGGAAGCCAGCUAGACCCUAGCCCUUAUAAAACAGAAGUCUUUAGCCCCUGGAGGAGCAUGUAGCAAACUAUUGCUCCCAGAGCACAGUGGAAGAAGACCUAUUACAGCUGAGAAAUGGAUAGAUAAAAAGGAACCCUACAUUGCAGAUGAUGCCAGAUACGUCUGCCAAAACGUUGGAUUUUUCUCUGUGAUGUCAGGUUUUAGAUCUUUUGCUUUUAAAUAAAGAUAUAAUAAUGAAU